AGAGCUCCUGCAGAUGAUGUCAUAUAUGCUGGUCACGUGACGAGAUACGACAGGGGCAGCCAUUUUGGCAGUCAUCGCGGCAGUAAAUUGACAGGCACUGGCAGACUGUCAAGGAUGGUGGAUAACUGCUGUGCACCAGGUUGCACAAAUAGGCGUGGGAAAAAGAAAGGUGUAUCGUAUUAUCGCAUUCCUAAAGACGCGGAGAGGAGGGAGAAGUGGAUUGGAGCGAUUAAAAGAGCCAGGAGCCUUCAGAAAAAGACUGAAAGAUGGGACCCCCCGGCCGUUGGCUUUCGCUUAUGCAGUGAUCACUUCAUAUCAGGGAGAAAGAGUGAUAAUCCGUUGAGUCCGGAUUUUAUCCCCUCAAUUUUCGAUUACCUUCCAUCUCCAGAGAAGAGGAGACAUAAAACGAGACUGGAGGUUUUUAACAGAAGGCAGAAGGCUAAACUGCACAAAGUAGAGCAGGCAAAGAUAUCUGCAGAAGCCAUCCGUCAAAGGACAUCAACUGAUGCAGCCCCAGAAGACCAUAUCACAGAGCCUUUGAAGGAGCCCCCCAUCACAGAUCCGUUGGAAGACUCAGCCGAUGAUCCUGUCCAGCCUGAACCAGUAACACCACCAUGCACCUCUGAAACCUGCUGUACCCGCAUCCAGAGUCUUGAGCAAGAAUGCCAAGCUCUAAGGGCUGAAAAUGUGUUGUUAAGGGAAAAGAUUAAUAGGAAGACCCUGACAGAGAUUAGUUUAAAUAACAAUGAUAAAAAGGUGAAUGUCCUCACUGGGCUGGCAACCUAUGCAUGUCUCAUGACCAUUUUUCAAUAUCUGGCUCCAUUUCUCAAAGUUAAAUCAUCAAUAACAUGUUUUCAACAAUACAUGUUGACUUUGAUGAAGCUUCGAAUGAACUUAACAUUUGACUUUUUGGGUUUUUAUUUUGGCAUCGACCCAACUACUGUCUCCAGGCACUUCAAAAACUGUGUUAAAAGAUGGGGGCGCAGAGGUACCCUUGGUGGAAUUCCCCUUUUUAUUUUGUUGAGUAUGGUUGAAUAUGAUGUCCUUGCCCUGCAGGUACUCCACAUUCUUCGCAGCAUCCUCACUGGGAGAGGCCCACUUGCAUUUUUUGGAUGUGCAGCUGAUCUCCUCGUGCCUUGCGUUGUUUUUUCCCCACAGACUGAAGAGAACAGCUGACACAUGAGAGCAGCUCUCCCCGAGUCCCGCUGUGCAGUUGCAGUGGGCUCCCAGCACAACACCGUCGUUCCUCACCACCACCCAUGGCUUUAGUUGACUUUCAUUAAGCCUUUGGGAGUGAUUAACCUAUAUGAAAUUCCAAAACAGAUAAAUAAAGGUAAAAAACGCCAGCCACUUUGGUUGAGUACGAUCAAAAAUACAAACUAGCAAGUUACAGAUGCACUGCAGUAGCUAUCCAAGCUAAAAAACAUGCUAACGUGACACUUCCGUAGCUAGCCAAGCUAAUAAACAAACAAUGCUAACGUGACACUGCCUAUCAAACUGGAAUAAUUUAAUACUUACCCUUGCAGUGAUGAUGCCGAAGUUUUUGGAUGUAAGACUCCACAGUUGAAUGUUGUUUACGAAGCCGGACUGACACCAUUUGUAAGCCUCCAAGCUUUUGUACGCUCUGAGGGAGUCUCCUGAGUACACUGAUGGAAAGCUUACAAGAUAGCUGUGGAUGUCUGCGUAGCGCAAGUCGGGUACAUCGUCUUCAGAGCAGGAGGUUAUGCUCUUGAAAAGCACACCGGGUGAAUUAUAUGGGUCGCUUAUAUUUAAUCUCUCUAAUUUUGUACUAUAAAGCCGAAUUUCACUUGAAUUAAAAUGAGAAGUAUACUCGCUCGGUAAGAAAACACUGGCACCGGUGGUCAUGUUGACUGCCAAAA